rnacentral:rRNA from 1 species
CCUAAGACAUGCAAGUCGAACGAGGUGGCCCAAUGAAGAUGGAGUGCUUGCACAAAGUUGGAUUUGGAUUCCCACCUAGUGGCAGACGGGUGAGUAACACGUGGGUGACCUACCUUCAAGUUGGGGAUAACAGUUGGAAACGAUUGCUAAUACCGAAUAAGAUAUAACUGUCGUGGUUAUAUUGAAAGGAGCCUUUAAAGCUCCGCUUAAAGAUGGGCCUGCGGUGUAUUAGCUAGUUGGUGAGGUAAUGGCUCACCAAGGCGACGAUGCAUAGCCGGACUGAGAGGUUGAACGGCCACAUUGGGACUGAGACACGGCCCAAACUCCUACGGGAGACAGCAGUUAGGAAUAUUCGUCAAUGGGGGAAACCCUGAACGAGCAAUGCCGCGUGAGUGAUGAAGGUCCUUUGGAUUGUAAAACUCUGUUGUAUGGGAAGAAUGACCAGAUUAGGAAAUGCGUCUGGAGUGACUGUACCAUACCAGAAAGCAUCGGCUAACUACGUG